rnacentral:tRNA from 1 species
CAUUAAGAAGCUUAUUUACAAGCAUUAGCCUUUUAAGCUAAAGAGUGAGAGUUUAAGCCUCUCCUUAAUGA